rnacentral:misc_RNA from 1 species
UCCGGUUUGGCACCGGCAGUCUCCUUAGAGUUCCCGGCUUUACCCGCUGGCAACUAAGGACAGGGGUUGCGCUCGUUGCGCCACUUAAGGCAACACCUCACGGCACGAGCUGACGACAGCCAUGCACCACCUGUGCGGGCCCCGAAGGGCACCGUGUUUCCACGGCUUCAACCCGCAUGUCAAGCCCUGGUAAGGUUCUUCGCGUUGCGUCGAAUUAAGCCACAUGCUCCGCCGCUUGUGCGGGUCUCCGUCAAUUCCUUUGAGUUUUAGCCUUGCGGCCGUACUCCUUAGGCGGGGUGCUUAAUGCGUUAGCUUCGGCACGGAAGGGGUCGAUAUCUUUCUACACCUAGUACCCGACGUUUACGGCUAGGACUAC